GACGAACGCUGGCGGCGUGCCUAAUACAUGCAAGUAGAACGCUGAAGACUUUAGCUUGCUAAAGUUGGAAGAGUUGCGAACGGGUGAGUAACGCGUAGGUAACCUGCCUACUAGCGGGGGAUAACUAUUGGAAACGAUAGCUAAUACCGCAUAACAGCAUUUAACCCAUGUUAGAUGCUUGAAAGGAGCAAUUGCUUCACUAGUAGAUGGACCUGCGUUGUAUUAGCUCGUUGGGGAGGGAACGGCUCACCAAGGCGACGCUAAAUAGCCGAACUGAGAGGGUGAUCGGCCACACUGGGACUGAGACACGGCCCAGACUCCUAAGGGAGGCAGCAGUAGGGAAUCUUCGGCAAUGGGGGCAACCCUGACCGAGCAACGCCGCGUGAGUGAAGAAGGUUUUCGGAUCGUAAAGCUCUGUUGUAAGAGAAGAACGUGUGUGAGAGUGGAAAGUUCACACAGUGACGGUAACUUACCAGAAAGGGACGGCUAACUACGUGCCAGCCGCCGCCGUAA
rnacentral:rRNA from 1 species